GGGCCCGCACAAGCGGUGGAGUAUGUGGUUUAAUUCGAUGCAACGCGAAGAACCUUACCAGGGUUUGACAUCCUGCGAAUCUCUUGGAAACAGGAGAGUGCCUUCGGGAACGCAGUGACAGGUGGUGCAUGGCUGUCGUCAGCUCGUGUCGUGAGAUGUUGGGUUAAGUCCCGCAACGAGCGCAACCCACGUCUUUAGUUGCCAGCAUUUAGUUGGGCACUCUAGAGAGACUGCCGGUGAUAAACCGGAGGAAGGUGUGGAUGACGUCAAGUCAUCAUGCCCCUUACAUCCUGGGCUACACACGUACUACAAUGCUACGGACAAAGGGCAGCAAGUUCGCAAGGUGGAGCCAAUCCCUAAAAGGUUGCCUCAGUUCGGAUUGGAGUCUGCAACUCGACUCCAUGAAGUUGGAAUCGCUAGUAAUCGCGGAUC
rnacentral:rRNA from 1 species